rnacentral:lncRNA from 1 species
ACAGCUGAAACGGCUGAAACAUCGGGAAGAAACGGAGGAGACCUAUAUUAACAAGACCUCGUCGUGGAUAGUCGUUAAGGACAGGGGUUUUGAAGACCUUGACAAGGCUGCCUACAGACGCCCUAAGGACAGCAAAUUCAUUUGCCGUGUUUGACGACAAGUGCUGUGGUGAGCCUGCAGUUCACUCGAAACGGAAAUCGGCGAGGAGCGGCGAAGCGCAGACCCCUCAGGCUGCUCAGAAAGUUGAGGUGGUAAAUUGUUUCGGCUGCUACAGCUCUCUAGCCAAAGUUGUUGACUGGCUAGUCUUUUACUGCCUCCCAACAUGUUAGUGACGUCCUGAGCUGAUGUACCCUAUGGCGAAGAGUGAGGCACUAGUUUCCUGAAGUAAUGUAUAGCAUGAGAUGGCACCCAUUCUAAACAGCAGCCGGCACCAACUCUGGCCGACAUUGGAGUGGACAAGACCCAGAUCCUGUGGGGAGGAAAAGUCUACACUAAACAGUAAAAGGGUGUGGGUUUUUCUCACUGAAGCUACCACUCGUGCAAUUUUGAUUGGUGAUUGUGACUUAGUCCUCCUCGUGAUCUACGGCAAGAAAGUGCAGUGGCCUGUUGGACCACCUGGACAGCGAGGCGCGAGAGUUGGAAGUGUUUCCACCAUUACGUCAGACACUCCUCUGCCCCAGAUUUGGAGGAUUUGCAAUAUUGUAGGUUGUAGAAGGUCCUUCCAACAUACCUUCAGGAACAGUUGCAGAACAAUGGCUGGAAGUUAAAUGCUACAGAAAGUAGCAUAGUUGUCAUAAUUAGAGGGCCAAAGUGGUAUGGAAGAUUACAAUGUCAUCAAAGCAUUGACUGGCUUCAGUGUGGUUGUUCUACUCUGCAAAUCUACGAAAGUUGGUGGAUGUUGUCCUUGGUACUCUGGUGUUUUCACUGGCCUUUUGAUGAUCUUUGAGUCUUCAGUGGAUUGAAUCUAGGAGGAGCAGCUUCCCACAACCUGAAAGACAAUAGUCAAUAUUAAUGUUACACUGUAAACUAUGAAAUAAAUA